GGACCUAAACCAAGUGAGGUGCAUCAAGGAUGAGGAUGGAAAGGUUCUUGCUACAGAGAAUGCGGUUAAAGAUAGAUGGAGAGGUUAUUUUCAUAAUCUUUUCAAUGAAGGACAUGAAAGGAGUGCUUCUUUAGGGGAGUUGAGUAACUCAGAAGAGUGUAGAAACUACUCUUUUUAUCGUCGAAUCCGGAAGGAAGAAGUGGUUGUAGCUUUGAAGAAGAUGAAGCAUAGAAAAGCAGUAGGCCCAGAUGAUAUACCAAUCGAAGUGUGGAAAGUUUUGGGAGAGACAUGUAUAACAUGGCUCACUGACCUUUUCAAUAGGAUUUUGAAAACGAAAAAGAUGCCAAAUGAGUGGCGAACGAGCACUUUGGUGCCUAUCUACAAGAAUAAGGGCGACGUACAAAAUUGCAUGAACUAUAGGGGUAUUAAGCUAAUGAGUCAUACAAUGAAGCUCUGGGAGAGAGUCAUUGAGCAUAGAUUGAGGCAAGAGACACGGGUUUCGGACAACCAAUUCGGGUUCAUGCCAGGGCGCUCAACCAUGGAGGCAAUCUAUCUCUUACGAAGAUUGAUGGAAACAUAUAGAGAUGGGAAAAAGGAUUUACACAUGGUCUUUAUAGAUUUGGAAAAAGCGUAUGAUAGGGUCCCAAGAGACAUUCUUUGGAGGAUUUUAGAGAAGAAAGGAGUACGAGUAGCAUAUAUCCAAGCUAUAAAGGAUAUGUAUGAAGGAGCAAAGACUGCCGUAAGAACUCAUGAAGAACAAACCGAAAGCUUUCCCAUAAUUGUAGGAUUACAUCAAGGCUCAUCCUUAAGUCCUUACCUUUUUGCGUUGGUAAUGGAUGAGUUAACAGGACAUAUUCAAGAUGAUAUUCCUUGGUGUAUGCUUUUCGCAGACGAUAUAGUGUUGAUAGAUGAAACUCAGGAAGGGGUAAAUGCAAAGCUUAACCUUUGGAGAGAAGUGUUGGAAUCUAAAGGUCUUCGCCUAAGCCGAUCAAAGACAGAAUAUAUGGAGUGCAAGUUCAGUGCAAAUGGAAGCCAAAACGAGUUAGGGGUGAGGAUCGGAGAUCAAGAAAUACCAAAGAGCGAUCGUUUUCGUUACCUAGGAUCUAUCUUGCAAAAGAAUGGAGAAUUAGAUGGAGAUCUCAACCAUAGAAUACAAGUUGGAUGGAUGAAGUGGAAGAGUGCAUCCGGCGUGUUGUGUGACCGCCGUAUGCCACUGAAGCUCAAAGGAAAAUUUUAUAGGACGGCAAUAAGGCCGGCGAUGCUGUAUGGCACAGAAUGUUGGGCGGUGAAGCAUCAACACGUACACAAAAUGGGUGUAUCGGAGAUGAGGAUGCUUCGUUGGAUGUGUGGGCACACAAGAAAGGAUAAGAUUAGGAAUGAGGAUAUCCGGGGUAAAGUAGGAGUAGCCGAAAUUGAAGGAAAGAUGAGAGAAAAUCGGUUACGGUGGUUUGGACAUGUGCAAAGAAGGCCUACUGACGCUCCGAUUAGAAAGAUGCGACUAUGGGACAGAGGUUCAGGGCCGAAGGGGUAGAGGAAGACCUUAGGAAAACUUUGGAAGAGACUCUAAGAAAAGACUUAGAGUACUUGGAUCUAACGGAGGACAUGACACAGGACCGAGCACAAUGGCGUUCAAAGAUUCAUAUAGCCGAUCCCACUCAGUGACUUGGAUUUUCCAAGUCUCCAACCGAGAAGUUUUCCUCACUCGGGAAAUUAAGGGAAUACUACCUCAACCUACAUGCUCCACUCACAAAGCUUCAACAUACAAGCUUCAACAAAAGAAAAUUCAAGAGAACUUAGCGAAGAAGGCUUUGGUGUAUUUAACACAAUACGUUGAAAUGAAGGAAAGCUUAUUUAUUGAUAUCCCCGAUAAGUUCACAAAUAUGUACAUAUACAUGAGUCAAAAUAAAACAACAAGAGGGAGCCUUCACAAAGGUUGCUUAGGAGAAGUCUCAGCAGUCGGUAGAGCCCCAGAAAGAGAAGGCACCUGGAGGGGGAUCAUUUGGAGCCUCAGUACUGGACAGAACCCUAGAAGGAGGAGGCAUCAGAGGUUGAUCAUUUGGAGCUUCAUUACGCGGUACAGCCCCAGAAGACGAAGGCAAUAAAUGCCUUUGGAACAAACCCACAAAUCUCUGAUGAUCAAGUAAAAACCUGACCAUCAGAUUCCUUCAUCUGGUCAAGCUUCCUCUUCAUGUUUGUAGCAUAGUCAUGUGCGAGCCGGUGCAACUGUUUAUUCUCAUGCUUGAGCCCUCUAAUCUCCUGUUUGAGACUCAUCACUUCAGCCGCCAAUGAUUCAACUUGGCGGGUUCGAGCAAAUAGGCGUUGGGCCAUAUUAGACACAGAACCUGCACACUGAACACUGAGAGCCAGAGAAUCCUUAACAGCCAACUCAUCAGACCGUUUGGAAAGUAGUCUGUUAUCUUUGGGAGUGAGAAGGUUCCUGGCCACUACCGCAGCGGUCAUAUCAUUCUUCAUCACGGAAUCCCCAACGGUAAGAGGACCAGUAGGGGAGACGAAGGAUGGGCGCCAUAUGUUGUCUGGAGAAGGCGUGGCUGCCUCUUCAACAAGGUUCAAGUCAAAACGACGGUCGGAGGGGCCAGACAUUUUCAAAGGUGUUGAAGAGAGAAGAGGUCGGACAAAUCAAGAUCUUAGAAGUGCAAGAAUGGAGCUUCUACUGGUGGAGAUUCAAGUGUGCUUUGGAACUUAAUGCCAGCCUCUAUAAAAAUCUGCACUCGACGGAGCUUCAGAAAUCGAAGAGGCGUUUGCUUUCUCAAAAGCUGGGCUGCUCAGAGACCACGAGACGUUUGCUUUCUCAAAAGUUGGGCUGCUCAAAGACCACGAAGGCCGAUCUCAGAAAUCGAAGAGGCGCUUGCUUUCUCAAAAGCUGGGCUGCUCAGAGACCACGAGGGCCGAUCUCAGAAAUCGAAGAGGCACCUACUUUUCCAGCCUUGUCAGCACCUGUCAGCUUUGCGGAAAUUAUGGGCAUUAUGUCGAAGAUUUCUGGUGAAGUAGAAAGCACACAUGAAUCUUACUGUUCAAUCACCCACUUCCCACACGCAACAUUAGCUCAUGGGUACCACAGAUAACUUUGCCAAAGUUCUCUGACAAAGUUGAGACACGUGAAGCUUGCAGCUCCCACUACAUCGCUCUGACCAAGAAGGGUAAAAGAAUAGCAAAGAAACAGCACUAACAAAGUUUAGACACACAUAAAUUUUGAAGGUCUAGCUACCAUAUUAUUACCCACAAGGGUAAAGGAACAGUACCACUGCUGGAUAAUUGGAAAGUCCCUGUGUGUCAACCUCUGUGCUUCGUGGCAAGGUAGACUAGCAAACAUGCCCAACCUUUUUCUCACAUUCGAGAAAACACUCCCAACAAGAUUGCUUGCUCCAAAAUCGAAGAGGCACCGCCCUCCGAAUCUCGAGAGCCAGACUCCCAACAUGAUUACUUUCUCAAAAAUCGAAGAGACACCGCUCUCCGAAUCUCGAGAGCCAGACCCCUAGCAGGAUUGCUUUCUCAAAAAUCGAAAAGGCAUCGUUCUCCGAAUCUCGAGAGCCAGAUCUCCCGACAGGAUUGCUUGUUCGAAAAACCGAAGAGGCACCACUUUCCCAACUUCAAGAGCCGGAUCUCCUUGGAUAAAGCUUGUCUGUAAUCUUUCACACGCAACAUCAGCUUUCCAGAUACCACAGACCACUUUUUCAAAGUGCUCUGACAGAGUUAAAACAUGUGAAGCUGGCAGCUCCCACUACCGUGCUAUGACCAAGCAGGGUAAAGGAAUAGCAUUACUACUUGUUGUUAGGGAGACUCCUAUAUAUGUCGACCUCCAUCCCCAACGGACAGGCAGACCUGCAAAAAUGCUCAACCCUUCCUCAUAUCUGAGAGGGCACUCCCAACGAAGCCUUUCGAAAUAUUCAGCUUUCUUUCCCCCCGAUAAUACCUCUGCAAACAAGCUAUACUAGAGCAAGAAUAUCUCAUAUCAUCAGGGUUAAAAGCAAGAGUAUCCCAUAUCAUGUUUUUUCCCUGUCUUUUCCUUUGGCCUUGUUCUUACCUGCAAGACAAGGAGAAAGAGAGCAAUCAGUCAGCACUUGGAAUCAAGCUUCCAGUCAGGAACUGACUGCCUGGAACCCCUUACCUUGAUUACUUACCUGGCAUUGCUCUCGAGUACUCAUCUUCAACAUCUUAUGCUUCCAGGGAAGAUACCGCAUCUGCCUGAGGAACAGAUAGGGCAAGUGAGAAGGAUACAAGGAAGCAUGUGGAGACAAGCGUAACAGCACACGUGCCGAUACAUCCACUACUCUGUCAAAAGCAAAAGUAUCCCAUAUAUCAGCAGGGUCGAACGUACUAUCUAGAUUUGAUGGACUUGUUUUGACCCUCAAAUUCUUCAGUCGGCCUUAUACUCUGGAGGAAACCAGAAAACCCUCCAGCCCAGUUCAAGAAUAAGCCUGUGGAAAGUUACUUCUUCAAAAGCAAAAGUAUCCCAUAUCAUCUCUUCUCAUUUUUCUUCUCUUUAUCCUUCAUGCUGCCUGCAAGAUAGGGAGAAUGUGAACAAUCAGCCGGAACUCGAAAUCAAAGUUCUGAUCUGGGACUGAUUGCUUGGAGCUCUUAUUGCUUACCUUGUCUGUCACCUCUUUCAGCAGAUCCCCUAGCUCGGCGACUUGGAGGACUCCUACUACAUGGUUGGUAUCGCGCUUGACCAAGCCUGAAACUACAAGUAAGCUUCAAGUGAAAUUGAUACAUUACCUUGUGCAUCUCCACCAGUUAAAGAUACCACCCCUGGAUGGAGGAAGAGUACUUCCAGAGAAGAUGCCACAUCUACCUACGAGACAGAUAAGGCAAGUCAAGACGAUACCACACUCCGGAACUUAGAAGUUUCGUGAUUACGAGAUCAUUCUCCCACAAUAUUUCCUAAUGUCAUUUGUAUUAACUCAUUCACUUGUACUCACUAAAGAGAGAGCUUGAACCUAUGUACUUGUGUAAACCCUUCACAAUUAAUGAGAACUCCUCUAUUUCGUGGACGUAGCCAAUAUGGGUGAACCACGUACAUCUUGGUGUUUGCUUUCCUAUCUCUAUCCAUUUAUAUACUUAUCCACACUAAUGACCUGGAGCAAUCUCUAGCGAAGAUCACAAAAAGCGACCGUUUUCGCUACCUAGGAUCUAUCUUGUAAGAGAACGGAGAAUUAGAUGGAGAUCUCAACCAUAGAAUACAAGCUGGAUGGAUGAAGUGUAAGAGUGCAUCCGGUGUGUUGUGUGACCGUCGUAGGUCACUGAAGCUCAAGGGAAAAUUUUAUAGGACGGCAAUAAGGCCAGCGAUGUUGUAUGGCAUAGAAUGUUGGGCGGUGAAGCAUCAAAACGUACACAAAAUGGGUGUAGCGGAGAUAAGGAUGCUUCGUGGGAUGUGUGGGCACACGAGAAAGGAUAAGAUUGUGAAUCAGGAUAUCCGAGGUAAAGUAGGAGUAGCCGAAGUUGAAGGAAAGAUGAGAGAAAAUCGGUUACGGUGGUUUGGACAUGUGCAAAGAAGGCCUACUGACGCUCCGGUUCGAAGAUGUGACUACGGAACAGAGGUUCGGGGCCGAAGGGGUAGAGGAAGACCUAGGAAAACUUUGGAAGAGACCCUAAGAAAAGACUUAGAGUACUUGGAUCUAACGGAGGACAUGACACAAAACCGAGCGCAAUGACGUUCUAGGAUUCAUAUAGCCGACCCCACUUAGUGGGAAAAGGCUUUGUUGUUGUUGUUGUUGUUGUUGUAUGAUAUUAUCUCCAUCAGAGGAGCUUGACCCAGGUAUAAAGUAAAGCAAGGAGGACAUUUGAAACUUUACCCGAGGUUAGCACCAACCACAUGGAAACAAUAAAAGCAUUACAUCAAUCAUAAACGCCCUAUCAUGGCUUUAAGAUCCUCUAUAGGAGUAUUCUGUUCAUUUCAGAUCAUCAAGCAAUAACCGCAGAAGUUUGAAAUACUAGACUGGAGAAAUGGUUCGAAAGAAUUAGCUGAAACGAACAGAAUACUGCUCUUAAAAUCAGUGUUAUCGGUCUUCUCCAACACAAUAUUUGGCUGAAUUAACGAUAACCUUAAGCCAAAUCUCAGAACACUCGUAACAAAACCAUAAAAGAAUAAAAACAAAAACUUCAAGUAAAUGAUGUAUAUCGAACCUUUAAACUUUUAAAUUCUUCAAGUAACUUUUGAUUUGUUUCUGUGAGCUCCUGAGCUUCAGCUCUCAGCUGGUUCAAAACCUUUAUGGUAUCAUCAAGCAUAGCAGCCUUGUCCGUCUUCGGCGGCCUCCCAGGCUCCAAAACACCGUUCAACUCCACAAACCUGCAACAUAUUAAUCAAACACCAAUACUUUUUAAUCACAAAGAAAACAAAGACUCACCAUUCUUUUCAUCAUUACAAAACAACACAUUUCUUCAAAUUUGUAAAAAAAUAAAAUAAAACAAAAUAAAUUAAGAUUUUAUACAUGCCUGUCAUUCAAUCUCUCCCUCCUCAAUUUCUCACGGCAAGCUUUUGCCCCUGAUCCAGAGCACGAAUCCGGUCGUCCCCUUAUUACCAAAACACCAUCAAUCAAACAAUCAAUUCCGUGACAAAAAGUUUGGAGCUUUCGUGACUAAGAACGCAUUUACAUUUCUGAAGAUUUCAUGGAAAGCGGAAGAGGAGGAAAUACCUCUUGCGGGGGCACUCUUUUUCCUGUGACUGUGAGGCGGAGGAAACGGCGGCAGCAGGAACAUCGAGGGCGGAGAAUUCGAAAUCGCCGAAAGGAGUGCCGUUGGGCCAGAGGAAAUCGGUGGGUUGGGGUUCGUCGAUGUAAUCAAGAUAAUCUAUCCAUUCCUCCAUUAGAGAUGGCAAAAAGAGAGACUGAGUCCUCUUCUAUUAAUAUGAAUAUGAUUCUCAGGACUUGGUUCGAUGUAAAUUUAAAUUUAAAUUUAUUUUUAUGAAAUAAGCAUACAAAAAACAAAUUUAGCAUGUUGUUUCUAAUCUAAAAAUCAAUUAUCAUUGGUCCAGCAACUCAUCACAACGUGCAGCUAUGAUCCUUCAACUAAAAAUUCAUUAUCAUUGGUCCCUUAAUUUUAAUCAACUAGAUAAAUGAUCCUUUAACUUUAACCCAAUUUGAGCAAUUGUCCCUCAACUUUAACCCAAUUCUAGCAAUGGUCUUUCCAACAUAAUUCAUUUUGACAAAAUUCUGAAUAAGUUGACGAAAAAGAUCAUAGCUACACGUUUUGAUGAGUUGAGGGACCCUAAUUGUAGCAAUGGUCCUUCCAACAUAACUUAUUUUGACAAAAUUCUUACGAAGUUGACGAAGAUGAUCAUAGCUACAUAUUUUGAUAAAUUGAGAGACCAAAAGCAAUGAAUUGUUAAUUGUAUGUGUGGAGCCAAAAAUAUUCACAGGGCGACACGUGGAUUUUUGGACAAAAAUGACAAAAAUACCCUUGCAGUACAACGAGGUUCCUACGCGCAAGCAGCGGGCAACCCUCUUUCAACCAAGACAGAAGUGCCCAAAAUAGGUAACAAUUCAAAUUCCAUCUCAUCAAAUCAUUUCUACAAGGUAAUUCCCAAACACAUUCCUUUUAAAUUAUGUUAAUUGGCUAAUUAAUGGGUUUAUUGCCUAAUUAACCCAUUAAUUGUCAAUUAAACCAUCCAUUAUAUCCAAAUAACUACAGAAUACAUCCAAUUCAACCCUAAAACACCACAUGGCCGGCUAUCCCCAUUUCAAAACCUAAUCCAUCACUUUUUUCUACCUUUUUCACCAUUUCUUCCUUUUUAUUACCCAAUAAAUUCAAAAACACCAAAAACAUUCAUCUUAUGUUUAAUAGCCAAAUAAAUUGUCUAAUUAAACCUAAAUUGAACCUAAAAACCCUAGCCACCUCCUAUCCCUAUAAAUAUACUCCCAUUCUCACCAAAAAGCUAAUUCCAACACUUUGGCAAAAAUCCCAAAAUUCUCUAAACACUCUUUCUCUCUAAAUUCUAACUUUGGCAUCGGAGGUUCUUUGGCCAAAGCCCCCCCCAUUCAUCGUGGGCGCGUGAGGCUCUUGGCCUUAACCUAAGGUGUUAAUUGUUUUGUAGGUGCAAAAUCGUCCAAGAUCGAGGAGGAAGAAAUUUGCAUCCACAAAUUGGUGCUUUCAUUGAGAGUUUAAAUCCAUACUCGUAGAAGACUCUCGCACAAAAAAGGUUUUUUCUUUAUUUUCUAGUCCAUUUGAAUAUUUUUCAUACGUUCUUAUUAUUAGAAUUUUUUAUUUGCAAAGGUUCUUUGAUAAAACGUAUAAGCAAAAUAUAAUGGCUAGAAAUUUAGAAAAUUCCAUAAGUGAAAAUUCUAGUGUUCAAGAAAUGGGAGUGCGGAGAUCCGUGAGGCAAAAUGCGACAAUAAGGGGAGCAGCAUCACCACCACGAGUUUCCACCAUGGGAACCACCGCGGUGGCUACCUCGGUAGCCACCCACGGCGAGGUCCAUGGUGCCUUCACCACGGCCACCAUGGGAACCACCGCGGUGGCUACUUCGGUAGCCAUUCGUGGCGAGGUCCAUGGAGCUUUCACCACGGCCCGAGCCGUGCCAUCCAAGGCUCACGAUACCAAGACCACGACCCAAGCCGUGCCAUCCAAGUUUACAUGGACCCAAGCCCAAGCCUCGCAUUCACAUGCACCGCGCGUUGAGUAGCCUGCUUCCGUCGAGCAGCCCACUCUCGUAGCCCAGCCUGCUCCUGCCAAGCAGCCUGCUCUCGUGACCCAGCCUGCUCCCAACGAGCAGCCCACUCCCGUGGUCCAGCCUGCUUCCGUCGAGCAGCCUACUCCCGUGGCCUAGCCUGCUUCUGCCAAGCAGCCUGCUCUCGUGACCCAGCCUGCUCCCAACGAGUAGCCCACUCCCGUGGUCCAGCCUGCUUCUGUCGAGCAGCCCACUCCCUUGGCCCAGCCUGCUCUCGUGACCCAGCCUGCUCCCGACGAGCAGCCCACUCCCGUGGUCCAGCCUGCUUCCGUCGAGCAGCCCACUCCUGUGGCCCAGCCUGCUCCUACCAAGCCGCCUGCUCUCGUGACCCAGCCUGCUCCCGACGAGCAGCUCACUCCCGUGGUCCAGCCUGCUUCCGUCGAGCAGCCCACUCUCACGGCCCAACCUGCUCCUGCCGAGCAGCCUGCUCUCGUGACCCAGCCUGCUCUCGACGAGCAGCCCAUUCUCACGGCCCAUCAUGCUCCAGUGGCUUUCCAAGCAGCCCAAGUUGACCCAAGACUAUCUCAACCAUCCGGACCUACCAUCGAGCCGGGGGCAUUCUCACCAUAUUUUUUUCGCGGGUUUGACAUUUCCCAACUCAAAUCUCGCGCCCGAAGUCUACCACCCUUUCACUGCCCAAGGAGGCGCAUUCCUUCCAAGCUCUUCCAAUCCAAAUGGCGAACAACACUUGUCUCGACAAGUCAUAGAGUUGACGAGCGCCCUUGCACAACAGACAACCUUGGUGAAUCAACUUUUGCAACACAUUGGGAUCCAACGUGCCCCGGACGAGAUAUCCCGAAGUAGGACAAGGGCAGACGGACAUUUCCAGCAGCGUCCCGGCAAGCAGCCACGAGCCGAACGUUUGGGCAGUGUACAUUCCCGUCUUAGAGCGCGAAGGAGCAUGCACUCUCGACUAGGCCCACGGAGGAGCAUACAUUCACGGUUGGGGUUAUACUCCGAUAGUCAACAUGAACAACCUUCCGGGCAAAGUGUCUAUUCGCAGCUAAGCCCACAAGGAACGUCCUCCACCUCACAUCAGAGUAGGCAGCACGACGGACGGAGAGAAGCAGUCACUCAAUCCAGCUCAAGUUCAACCAGCAGCAUGCGAAGAACUCGCUCGCCUACUAGGAACGCAUCACAUGCACUGCAUCCGCGGCAUAGACGAGCCAAACACAUGGAAGAGCAGCCUAGACCAGCAAGUCAUGACUGGGGGCAGCCGAGAGCUCUGCUACCCCAACAAAGGCAAAUUCAGGAAGAAGUAGAGAGACUCUUGACCAAGCGAUUGCAUGAUUUCCAACGCAACGAGGUCAUCGACGAAGCACUACGACGGAACAUAACCAACAUAAGCAGAUCACCCUUCACGGAGGAGAUUGAGCAAGCAGAGCCUCCACGCGAGUUCAGCAUGCCACAUUUCACAUCUUUCAAAGGGGAUGAAGACCCGGAGAGACACUUAAAACGUUACCAAAGUGCAAUGAUCCUUUAUCGAAACAACGAUGAUCUCAUGUGCAAGAUAUUCACCACCACUCUACAAGGCGAGGCGCAAGAUUGGUUCUACACCCUGCCGCCACAAUCCAUCCGGAAUUUCUACGAACUUUCUUUGGUUUUCACUAAAGAAUAUUCAUCCUAUCGCUCGAUCAAAAAGAAGUCUGACCAUUUGUUCGACGUCAAGAAGAACCCAAAGGAAUCGCUUCGCGACUAUGUGAGGAGGUUCAAAGUAGAGAAGCCAAAAAUAUUCACAGGGCGACACGUGGAUUUUUGGACAAAAAUGACAAAAAUACCCUUGCAGUACAACGAGGUUCCUACGCGCAAGCAGCGGGCAACCCUCUUUCAACCAAGACAGAAGUGCCCAAAAUAGGUAACAAUUCAAAUUCCAUCUCAUCAAAUCCUUUCUACAAGGUAAUUCCCAAACACAUUCCUUUUAAAUUAUGUUAAUUGGCUAAUUAAUGGGUUUAUUGCCUAAUUAACCCAUUAAUUGUCAAUUAAACCAUCCAUUAUAUCCAAAUAACUACAGAAUACAUCCAAUUCAACCCUAAAACACCACAUGGCCGGCUAUCCCCAUUUCAAAACCUAAUCCAUCACUUUUUUCUACCUUUUUCACCAUUUCUUCCUUUUUAUUACCCAAUAAAUUCAAAAACCACCAAAACAUUCAUCUUAUGUUUAAUAGCCAAAUAAAUUGUCUAAUUAAACCUAAAUUAAACCUAAAAACCCUAGCCACCUCCUAUCCCUAUAAAUAUACUCCCAUUCUCACCAAAAAGCUAAUUCCAACACUUUGGCAAAAAUCCCAAAAUUCUCUAAACACUCUUUCUCUCUAAAUUCUAACUUUGGCAUCGGAGGUUCUUCGGCCAAAGCCCCCCCAUUCAUCGUGGGCGCGUGAGGCUCUUGGCCUUAACCGAAGGUGUUAAUUUUUUUGUAGGUGCAAAAUCGUCCAAGAUCGAGGAGGAAGAAAUUUGCAUCCACAGUAUGAUCAUUACUCCAAUUUGAUUAAAGUUGAGAAACUAUAGCUACAAUUUACUCUUUCAAUUAUUUUAUUUUGUUUUAUUUUAUUUUGUUUUAUAGAUAAAAAGACCAGAAUUAGAAAAUAUUAGUGUAUUUGAUGGUCAUAUUAUUUGGCAUGCCAACUGGUGUUUUAAAUUCAUACAAAAUCAAUUUCGUGACAAAAAGAUGGACUCAUCUCUAAAAGGAUCUUCAUUUUUUUUUAAAAGAGAUUAGUUGCUGACUUAGUUAAUAAUGUCCUUUAACAAUCUAAAACGUGCUGCAGUCCUAUCGGAUUAGGAAUAUGAAUGUGUAAAUCCUAGUAUAUCUAGGAGUAUCUUGUAGUCACCUAUUAGGAGUUGAUUACCUAUUAAGAGAUGCAAUCCUAUAAGGGUAAGGAUUUUAUCCUUCUUACUACUAUAAAUAAAGGCAUAAGGGGGUGAUACAAGAUACACCUCAGAAUUAAAUCUCUCUCUUUCUCUCUUGUUGCUGCCGGUCCCCUCUUUCUCUAUUCCUUAGAUCGCUCAGUUAAUUAGGCCGACAACACGUUAUCAACAUGCUCUUGCCAAAAGCUAAGGAACUGAAGGAUUGUAGGAGGAGGUUAUCUUCUACAAAUUCAAAGGCAAAUCGUUUUCUGCCAAUCAGGUUCUUCUAAAAUAAAUUAAAAUAUUUGAAAAAACCUUGAAGCAUGAAAUCAUUCCCCAUGAUGAAUGAACCCCUAUAUUUAUAUUUUCCUUCCAAUUAUAUAUAUCGUAUAUAUGUUCAUAUAUUUUGUCAAUAUAUAUAAUUGUUCAUGCAUUUCACAUAUAUUUUGUCAAUAUAUAUAAUUGUUCAUGCAUUCCGCAUACAUGCUAUGUGGAAUUGUGAGUCAAAAGAAUCGAAAUUAAUUUAGAAGUAAUUAGGGUUUUUAACUUUAGAAUUCGGGGGGAAAAAAACAAAAUUGGGUAAUUUUUCGCAGCACCACCAUGCUAGCCUGAAACCCAAUCAUGUGGCGACAAACCUCGAGACGGCAUCUCUGACGCCUUGGGUUGCCUGAUACACAGGCCUGAAGCCCUAGUCCAAACCCAACCCAACCUGCAUGCCAUAAGCAUGUUGGGCUUGUCCUUGACAUAGGCCUAAAGCCUCGACUCAUCUGCAGCGGCCUUCUUGGCUUGUUGGACCAGUUCCCUGUCUCGGCCCAUGAUAAGCUCAUAUUUAUAUAUAUUUUACAUAAAAUUCACUUGUCUUUUCUUAGUUAGUUCCUUAUAUUUUUGAGCUAUUUACUAUGUUUUUGUGUUUUGUGUGAUUUAUCAAGCAAAGAAAAGAAAAGUAGCACAAGUGAAUUAUUAAGUAACAAAUUCGUCAAAACUGCCUGUGCAGAUUAUCUGACUUUGGAAGCAUGUUACAAACAGCUCAGAAUGAAUGAGAGAAUGAACCUUAUAUGCGUGGAAAGCUACGGAUGUCUAUUUUCUGGAGCAAUUUACGGAUUGUUAAUCUCAUUUUUCUAGAAGAAGUUAUGGGCAUUGUAACACUGAAAGGUCAGAAAAUGGCUAAGCAGAUUUGGCUAAUAAAAAGAGAAAGGCAACACAUGGGCAAAGGAAACACACACACAUGGGCAGAAAAUGGGUGGAUUGUUGGCUGAAAUAAUGAAGAACAUGUGUCUGCAAAUGCAAAGGAAAAACACACACACAUGGGCAAAGGAAACACACACACAUGGGUAGGAAUUGUGUGUGUUUUGUGGUUGAAAUGAUGCAAAGAACAUGUGUGUGUGCAAGUGUAACAGCUAGGAUGAUAACAUGGCAGCAAACACAUGGCAAAGAAAAGAACAUGGCAGCAAACACAUGGAGCACACGGCAUGGGCAGAAAAUGUGGGUGUUUGGUGGUUGAAAUGAUGAAGCAUGUGUGUGUAAAUGUAAAGGAAAACAUGGCAGAAAAUGUGUGUGUUUGGUGGUUGAAAUGAUGAAGCAUGUGUGUGUAAAUGUAAAGGGGAAACAUGACAACACACACCCACACAAGCUACACAUGCAAAGGAAAUGGAGUGGUCCUCUCUCAAGCCUAUAAAUACCACCUCCCAUAUUCAUCAACAUAACAGAUUUUGAUCCUUGCUCCUUGGCCGAAAUUUUCCACCACUAUUCUCUCCAGAUUCAGCCAAAAAUCACCCCUAGCCACACCACCCAUCAACCCUAAACAUUUUCAUACCAUUCCCUAUUCAUUCUACACCAUAAAAACCACCCAAAACCUGUCCAAAACCUCUAAUGCCGCAGCUUGCAAGGAAGGAGAAAGAAGAAGACAUCUUGUGCCGUGCCUAAGCCCAAGCCUUGGGAGUGUUGGAGCGUUUCUAGGUGUUUUCUAUCUUUGUUUUUAAUGUCUAAAUUUAUGCAUCUUUGCUUUGUGAGUAUGAGGAACUAAACCCCUCUUAGUUAGGGGGUGAUUCGAAACUAUGUUCAUGCUUGCAAUAUGAUUUGAUUACAUCCAGUUGUGAUUCAUAAGUUGUGAAUUCAAUUUACUUAUCCGUUCGUAUAAAAACUAAUUUGUGUAUGUUGGUUGAGAGUGCACGCUUAAUUUUCAUGCAUGAAUUUGACGCUAGAAUAUAAGGGAGUUUCACCUAAUCAUUAUGAACUUAUAUUCACAAGUAGUGAAGGUUGCAAGUCACAAUCAUGUUAAGUAAAUUAUUGGCAUAAGUUUCAUGCAAAUCAUAGUAAUGAGUGCCUCGUCAAUGCUUAUGUUUUUUUAAUAGAACUUAAUGAUUCUUGCUUGUAUCUCUAUUAUGCAAUUCAUGUAGGGAACUUGUAGGGAAUGUUUUGGGUUGUCGUAUGCAAUCAUCCAACCCAAUAACUUGUGGAAAAACUGAGGGUUAAUUAGUGCAAUUCACGGUUAAUUUGGGGCGUUGAGUAUUCAUAGUUUAUCGAAAAGCAACUGGAAAUCGUUUUGUAUACAAGUGUAACAUGUGUGGAGAAGAACCUCCUAGCUAGCCUUCCAUCCAUAAGUUUCAUUCAAAUUCAUUUACAAUCUGUUUUGUUUUACAAAGUUUGUUUUGUUUUCAAAUUCGUCAAGAACCAAUCUCCCAUUUAUUUCAAAAUGUUAGAUUAGUCAGUAAUCACUUUAGUUUGUGUUUUUAAGUGUCUUGAGUCAAGUCAUAACCCAAUUUCGUCCAAUUUAGUGUUAGGUGUUCAAAACUGCCCAAAAAGUGUUUUUAAGGCAGUUUUGAGUGUUUAUUUGCUGUUUUGAAUCUUUUUGUUUAUCUUAGUAUUUUAAAGUAUAGUUUUGCAUUCUUUAAGUCUAGUUUAGUGUUUUAAACUUUGUUUUUAUGUUUUCAAGUCAGUUUCCAAGUGAUUUAGCAAUCCCUCCUAAUCCCCGGCCUAGAACGAUCCCUACUUACAUACUUUACUACAUUUGAUAAAAAGAGGGUUUAAUUUGUGUGCUUAUAUAUUUCGCAUCAGCCCACGCCAACAAACUUGCAUGCUUGCUGGGCUUUGUCUUAGCCCUAGCUUGUGAAACCAAAAGCCAACCCAUGCGCUUGGGCUUGUCCCUACGGCCCACAAUUGAAACCCAACUGGGACUGGGGUUUCUUUGCACACCCACAUACCCUUUGGGCCUUGACCUAUGUGCAUGCCCCAGACCCAACACGGCAACCUUCACGGCUGAGCUUACCAAAUUGGACUCAUGGCCUGCAACCAUGAUUACGGCUGCUCCUAGCAGCCACCCGAGCGUAUUAAACUCUAUAGGGCCUUGCCCUACUCACAGCACCCAUGCCCACCAUGUGUGAGCUAUGGUUUUUCAAACCCAAUGCUAAUUUUUGGCAUUCUAAAUAAUUUUAACCCAAAUGUUAUUAUUAUUUUUGCUUCUACGAUCGACCCCAAAUGGUCUUAAUUUAUUGAAUUAAUUAAAGUGACCAGCAGUCUACUAAUCUGACAAUUAAUCCAAAAUUAUUGGCCUUAAGCUCUUUUUUUGGCAUUAACGAUUCAAUAAAUUAUUUCGUCUCUUUGAACCGUUGACUAUCUUUCGUAGUCCCGAAGCACUCACACUUGAAUUCCUGAAGCAAUCCACAAAUCCACUACACUUUAUUGUAUAUUGUAUUUUGUGUUCUUGCAAGUACCCGUAUACAUAUGAACUAAAACGUUCAUAACUAAAUCGAACCUACAGUUUCGAAUUUAGUGCCUUUGAAACUUGAAGUUUUCAUUCAAAACUUACCACAUGAAACAUGUAGCUUUCAUGCAUAAAUUAAACAAAUACAUGUUUAUAGAACCUGAAUGUUCUACAAUGUAUGUUUAUGGCUUUCCAUAUGACUAACCAGGUUUUGUUGUACCCUUUGCUUAAGGACAUGUUGAACUUGAACAAGGUCGAUAUCACCGUUUUGGAAGUCUCCGAAAGAAACUACCUAAAAUGGGUUCAAGAUGUGAAGUUCCAUCUUACUGCAAAGAGUCUUACAACUACCAUUGAGUAACCAAUCGAUGAAUCUCAUAAAGCUACUACUAUAAUCUUCAUCCGUAGACACAUCCAUGAUGCACUGCAGACCAAGUACCUCGCAAAGGAGGAUCCCCGUACCCUCUAGCUUGCACUGGUGGAUCAUUUUGAUCACCAGAAAGACAUCUUCUUACAUGAAGCAAGACACGACUUGCAGCAUUUACGCUUCCAAGACUUCAAGUCUAUAAAUGAAUAAAACUCUGAAGUUUGUAGAAUCUGAUCACUGCUUAAGUUCUGUAACGAGGACUUAACUGAACAGGAUUCCUGGAGAAUACCUAUUUGACCUUUAAUGCCAUCAAUAUUGUCUUGCAACAACAAUAUAGGGCACAGAAGGUCACCAAAUUUUUGGAUUUGAUAUCUAUUCUACUUCUUACUGAAAAGCAGAACCAGCUUUUGAUGAAGAAUCAUCAAGCUUGACCUACUGGCUUAGACACCACGCCUGAAGCGCACGCAACAACUUCUAGCAGCCACAACUAACGGAGAUCCCGUCAUGGCCGUGGGAAAGGGCGGCAAGCCCCACCACAAGCCCAAGGUCCACCGAACAGAGGCUCGUCCAAGGGGUGAAACUUCACCAGAAGUUCCAACCCCUUGCCCCGAAGGCCCUAAACUUCAAUAACAAUGGACAAGCUACCAUUCAAUCGGAUUCCACUGACAUGUACUACCUAUGUGGAUUAAGAGAUCAUUGGUCACACGUAUUGACAUGCCCAACCCUGAUAUACUCCAAACACCAAGGUAAACACGUGCUAGCCGACACUUGAAGGUAACGAAGCCACACUAAUAUGCAUGAGAACCAAUGAAUAUAAAUAAGACUUAUAAAUUUAAAUAUAAUUAAUAUGAAAAUGAGGAAUGUGUUCAGAGCAUACAACUAAUUUGAGACACUAAAAAGGAAAUAAUAUAAAAUUUAAUGAACAAAAAGAUGGGUCCUACAUCAAAAAGACUCGAAGAUGCCAAUGCGGGAGUGCUUUGACAUCGGGAUUGUACAGCUUGAUUUGAUGUCCUGAGGGGGCAUAAAACAAAACAUGAGUGGACCAAGUUGAAAUAUAAGUAGUAUAAACAUAGUUAUUCCACAAUGUACUAACCCCUAAAGUUUAUGAAAACUAAUAGCAUAAUAUGUGAUAGGUUUUCCAAAAACUCUAACAUGCCAUAAAACCUUUCAUAAAGCAUAUAUCAUAUAUAGUGUGCUAAAUAGUGGUAUCAUACUCACCCGAAAGCAGGACAUGCACCUGUAUGUAGAACAAACACCCGUAGGCGGAACAUACACCCGUAGGCAGAACAGUGACCACUACAGAAGCACAAAAACAUUGUAUAUAAUCUUUCCAACAUAGGUACAUAUAUCUCAACAGAGCUCAGUAGCUCAAACAUCAUAUCUUAAACAUCUUCACAGUAUAUAGUCAUCCAUCAUAUAUACUAUAAAGAACGUAAAAAUCAAUAAAGUAUGGCAUUCCAAAAUAUUCUUAAUAAAGCAUGAUAUCUCAUAGAGUGUAAAUCAAAUUUACUCAUAAACGUUACGUAAAAUGUAACCAUUAAAUCAUGCUUUUCUUGUAUGCAUUCCUAAUAGUAAAAUAUGCAUUUUGGAAGGGGUCCACUCAUAGAUACUUCGGCGUCGAAGAGCCACGUAAACUAGCAAAGACAGAAAUGCCACAAUAAAUGCACCUAAGCACAUAAAGGGUCAAAUUAAUAAAACUAUACCAUAACAAUUGAAUUUCGGAAAACGGAAACGGAUUCAGGACGUCAAAAGACAUAAGGGGGAACUCGAGUACCACUACGCACUGCCUCAUGCGGCCUCAUGCGUUGCCACGGGAUGGAGGCCUCGGCGACCAUGUGCCAAGAUGGGUCGUCGAAAAAGUCAUCGGCACCGCAGUGAUUUUUACCGUGGAUGGUGGCCGAGCACAGUACCUUUGGCGGAGGCGCGUGUACUACACGCGCCAGCAUAGGCGGCCCUUCACUUGCGCCCAUGCGCUACUCACACGAGGCCUGUGUUCUGGGAUCCGAUUAGGUAUGGGCUUGGGCUCAGGGUUUUGGGCCCCAAGGUUGGGCCUGGGCCCAGGAUCUAGACCAAAGGUUCCAUGUCCCAAAGGCCUAGGUUUAAGUUAUUAGGUUAAAGGGUUUAGGGUUGGGUUAUAUUGAGUUUGGGCUUGAAAGCCCGACCCAAGUGCUUGGGCUGGUACAAUGGGCUUUUGGGUCUAGGUUUAGGGUUACCAAGUUAGGUCGUCCCAGUUUUCAAGAGGGUUUCGAAUAAGAAGAAGAUCGGAGCUUCCCAAGCUUCGAUCAACACCGAUCUUCGAUCAUUUCCAAAGAUUUAAAAGCCAAAAUGAAGGUUGAAAGAUAAGGAAUGAGAUCGUACCUUUGUGGUCCCCCACCGUGGCCGGAGCUAGCCGGAAAUUGGCUCGAAAGUCUUUGAACUCGUUGAAAAAUUGGGAAAACACCUCCCCGAGUUGAUUUUUCGUGUUUGAACCUUCAUUAACCCUUCAUCCCUCACCAAAGCUUCAGGGUUUGAUGGCUGGUAGGUGUUAUCGUCGACAUGUAAGUGUGGGUCAGGGUGUGGGUGUCGCCGGAGAGGGGAGAGCACAGAGAGAACUCAGGAGAGAAAGUGAGGAAAAGAUAGAGAUGUAUGAGAUUGUGUGGAGGGAGAGAUGGCACGGGUCCAAAGAGGGAGGAAAUGAGAGUGGGACAGGGGACAACCUAAAAGCAAGUGACACCACGGCACACAAAAUAAAGCCCAAAAGAAAAUAUCAAGCCAGCAAAGGUAAAAUUACCAAAAUUCCCUCAUUCCAAAAAUCUAUAAAUAAAUAUCGAGACGGGUUGUUACACGUAUGCCGAGCUACCCCUGAGGCCAUUGCCAAGUAUCAUUCCCAUUGUGAGUCCAACUUUGUGCAUGUAAAAAUCCUUGAAGCGACUACUACAACUCUAGAGGUUUCAGAUUUUCAGGAGGCAUCCGCUCCUAGGGAAGAAUAAAUUUUAGACAUGUUUUUAGGGUGUUUAACCCCUAGUGGCCGAACCCCCCUAAUUUCUAGGUUUAUGGUUUAAUUUUCGGACAAUUUUUCUAAGUAUUUGGAAUUAUUUGUUUGGUUUGGUUUUUUUGAACUUUGGAUAUUAUUUUAUGGACAUUAUUUCUCAACUUGAUUAAUUAAAUGAAUGGAAUUAUAUUUAUGCAUGUGACUAAUUCAAUUAAUUUAUUUCUGGGUAUGACUAGUGAGGAAGUUAGUUGUCUAGCUGAUAGUGCAACUACGCACACCAUAUUGCGUGAGAAACACUAUCUUACUAACUUCGUACCUCAGAAUGCACCUCUGACAACCUUCUCAAGCCCAUCCAACCUGAUAGAAUGAUACAGAAAGGCUCGUAUAAUGUUGUUCAAUGGUACUGAAUUAACCAUUAAAGAGGCAAUAUAUUCUCCCCGUUCCGUAAAAACGCUGCUGAGUUUUAGAAACAUUCGAGAUAAUCAAUAUCAUGUUGACACCACUGAAGAAAAUGGUUCUGAAUUUCUUUGUAUCACUUCUUAUGAAUAUGGUUGGAAGUAUAUUCACAAGAAGCUGGAACGUAUCUCGAGUGGGUUAUACAUAACAACCAUUCGAGCCGUAAAGACACACCCUAGUGCUGGGUUCUAGGACACUUUGCUGUUUUGGCAUGGUCGAAUGGGACACCCCGAACAAGAUAUGAUGCGUCGUAUUCUCAAAGCAUCUCAUGGGCAUCACUUCAAAUCUUAUCCUGGCCAUCCACUUUGCAAAGCAUGUUCCUUAGGGAAGUUGAACAUUCAACCAUCACUUACAAAGAUUAUUCACGACCCUAUAAAUUUCUUCAGAGGAUUCAAGGGGAUAUUUGUAGACUUAUCCAACCAACGUGCAGACCAUUUAAAUACUUUAUGGUGUUGGUUGAUGCAUCGACAUGAUGGUCACAUGCCUGUUUGUUGUCCACACGCAAUGUUGCAUUUGCAAAUUCCUAACAUAAAUUAUUAAGUUUUGGGCUCACCACCCUAAUUAUCCGAUCAAGUCGAUUCGACUGGAUAAUGCUAGAGAGUUUACUUCACAAACCUUUAAUGAUUAUUGCAGGUCUAUUGGGAUUGAAGUUGAACAUCAUGUACCCCAUGUUCAUACCCAAAACGGCUUGGCAAAAGCUUUCAUAAAGUACCUUCAAACGAUAGCUCAGACUUUGGUUAUAAGAACCAAUUUGUCGGUAUCUGCCUGGGGCCAUGUAAUAUUACACGCAACUAUGUUGGUCCGCCUAAGGCCCACCGCUAUCUAACCUUAUUCACCGUUACAAUUGGUUACUGGAUAUGAGCAUGACGUCUCGCAUUUAAGUGUGUUUGGGUGCACAGUCUAUAUGCUAAUAGUGCUGCCACUACGUAAAAAAAUGGGUUCUCAAAGAAAAAUGGGAAUCUAUGUCAGUUAUGAUUCACCAUCCAUUAUUCGCUACUUGGAGCCCUUGACAGAAGAUUUUUUUACCGCACGUUUUUCGGAUUGUGACUUCUAUAGGACAAUCUUCCUGCUGUUAGGGGGAGAUAAGAUCACUAACGUUCCUAUAGAACACCAUGAAUUGUUGUGGAUUACUCCCACUAUGUCCCAUUUAGAUCCCUGCACGCUUCAAUCUGAAACUUAAGUGCGACGCAUUCUAGAUCCUCAGAACAUUGCUCAAAGAAUGCCGGAUACUUUUAAUGAUCUAGCAAAGGUGACGAGAUCACACAUACCCGUUGUAAACGCACCUGCAAGGAUGGACGUACCAAUCGUACGCUGUAACACUGCUGUGGAAGGCCGAACCAUCCCAGAGGGUGGGGCAGCCGCACCUCCCACAUGGCAAGGUACACUGGUGGCUAACCAAUCACCUACUCCUACCCUGAAACGUCGCAAACCUCCUAGUUCAAAGGAUUCACAACCCUGAAGGAGGAAAAAGGCACAAACUAGUGACCUUAGUUUGAAUCCGACCAUUGCUUACUUAUAUGUUCCAAUGCAUAAGGUUAUUAUAGAUUACGGUGAUGCUUCAGAUGAAACAUGUCGGCCUCUCGAGAAUUGUGAGAUUUCAAUCCAUUACAUAGUAUUGGAUGAGGUUUGGAAUCGGAAUAAAAUGAUAGUCAAUGAUGCAUUAGUGUAUACCGUUAUGUUUGAUAUCAUGCUUAGUGAUGACAUUAAACCACGCUCUGUUAAUGAAUGUCGACGUAAAACAGAUUAGUCAAAUUGGAAACAAGUAAUCCAGGUCGAACUCGAUUUGCUUGCAAAACGAAAGGUGUUUGGGGCCGUAGCUCCUACUCCACCAUAUGUGAAACCCAUAGGCUAUAAGUGGGUUUUCGUAUGAAAGCGUAAUGAGAAGAAUGAAAUAGUGCGGUACAAAGCACGCCUCAUAGCGCAAGGCUUCUCUCAGCACUCUGGGAUUGAUUAUGAUGAGAUGUAUUCCCCGUAAUGGACGUCAUAACGUUUCAUCACCUUAUCAAUUUGGUAGUUUUUGAAAAACUGAAUAUGCAGCUUAUGGACGUGGUAACCACAUAUCUUUAUGGGGAUCUAGAUACGAAAAUGUAUAUGUAAGUUCCAGAAGGACUUCCAUUGAUUGGUUCAAAUAGUUCUAGACCAUGAAACACUCUCUCGAUUAGAUUGAGGAGGUUACUCUACGAAUUGAAAUAACCUAGGCGGAUGUGGUAUAACCGUCUGAGUGAAUAUUUGACAAGUCAGGGUUAUGUGAACAAUGAACUUUGCCCAUGCAUGUUCAUUAAGAAGUCACACUCCAGAUUUAUGAUCGUUGCAAUUUAUUUCGACGAUAUGAACCUCAUCGGAACUCCUGCAGAGCUUGAGGAAAUUGCCACACACUUGAAAUCAGAAUUUGAGAUGAAAGAUCUUGGAAAAACUCGAUAUUGUCUCGACUUGGAGAUCGAGCAUUGUUUGGAUAAAAUCCUAGUACAUCAAUCGAACUACACCCAAAAGGUGUUGCGUCGUUUCAAUGAGGAUGAAACGAAGCCUUCGAGUACACGUAUGGUCGUUCAAACUCUAAAUGCUAAACAAGAUCCCUUUCGUCCAAAUGAGGAUAAGGAAGAGAUUUUGGAGCCUGAAGUUCCAUACCCAAGUGCAAUUGGUGCUUUAUUUGGCUUAAUGCACUAGACCCGACAUCUAUUUUGCUGUUAAUCUUUUGGCUAGAUACAGUAUGACACGCCUCAACCCUGAUAUCCUCAAAUAUCAGGGUAGGCAUGUGCUGGCUAACAACCAAGGGUGACGAAGCCAUUUUAGACACGCAUAUAUCUUAAAGAUGUGUAAUUAGAACAAUUAUGCCAAAGCAGGAACGCAUUCAGCAUAUAACUAACUAAGAAUAAUAUGGAAGAAUCACUAGGGAAAGAUAUGAAUAAGGGAAUGAUACCUACAUUGAAAAGACUCAAAGAUACCUAUGUCGAAGUGCCCAGACACCGGGAUUGAAUGCCUCGAAUCUAACUCCUGAGGGGCAUAAAAACCAAAAAUGUGAGUGGACCAUAAUUUAUAAUAAUACUAAUAAUACGAAAACCAGUUCAUUUCAAAACAUACUAACCCGCUAUUUUGAAAACACAUAUAUAAUACUACAUAUAGGUUUUAUGAAAAAUCCUAGCAUGCCAUGUAAAACAUUCGUAAAACAUUUGUAAAUUGAAUCUAUGAUGUACUCAACUAGGGGUAUCAUAGUCGCCCGAAGGCAAUACCUGUUCAUUACCCGAAGGUGAAGCUGUAUAACAUGUCCAUCACCCGAAGAUGGAGUUGAAUAACCUGUCCAUCACUCGAAGGUGAAGCUGUAUAAAAUAGCAUACAUCCACACCGACACUGGUCGUGGCUAGUGAAGCUAUUUGACACUACUUUUGGCAGUGAAGCUGAGGGUAUAUCAUAUAUCAUAUCUCACUCCUCCUCAUCAACUGUGUCCUAUGGCCAUAGACAUCUAUACACGUGGUGUGUGGAUGUGUCAUAUGAUAACCCACUAGAUAAGUACCAAAAACAUAUCUCAAAAUCUUGUAUCAAACAUCGGAGCUCAACAACUCAAACCUUGUCUCAUAAAUCCAUGAUAAACCAUAAUCAUAAAUCCAAAAUAAACAUAUACGUGAAACCAUAGAAUUUCAUAAUCGAAAACCCAAUGAUUCAUAACCUUUAGUAAUAUAUAAAUCCGAUAAAUCAUAAUUAUUCCGUAAAGGCAAUCUAAAUAAAACAUAAGCAUGCAAAUCUGUAACAUAUUAUAAAUCAUGCUCCAUUCAUAAAAUAUGCAAUGCAUGCUAGGCUAAUAUUUUAUAAAAAUAUUUAAGUUAUGAAGGGUCCACUCAUAGAUAUUUUAUUGCCCGAGAGCUGCUCGAACUAGCGUGAACAGGAUCACUUCCGCCGAUGCACCUAAAUGCACAUAGAGACCAUUUAGUAAAACCCUAUGAAAAUGAUCAAAUUUGGGAAAACAGACACCUGAUUCAGAUUCGGCACAUCGAGAAACCUAAGCAGAGACCUCGAGUUCCCUCUACACAGUGGCUGGCAGCCCCGACUAGCCAGAAAAUUCAACAACUCCAAAACUUCUCAAAUUUUACAGGAAUGAAGAUCUUAAUGAGAGGAAUAACUUUCAUACCUAGGCCAAAGUCUAAUUCGGCCGGGAAACACCUCAAAUCACCCUCGAUCCGUCGAAAACCCAAAAAUGGGUGAUCUUCGAUUCGUCUUCUCUGUUACUCCACCGCCUCUAAACUUGUUUGGGCUUUGUUCUUGGGCUCAAGAGAAGGCUAAUGGUGUGGUGGUUGAAGGAAUCACCUUAAAAAAUGGCAGAUUUCCGCCGAUCUCCCCCACAGUGUUGCCGGUGCUAUCCCUACAAAAUUGAGACAAAAAACUGUCGAGUUUGGAGUGGAACUUGAAGAAGGAGGGUCGUGGAGUUGUGGGUAGGUGAUGGCAAGCCUUGGAUCACCGGAAAAAAAACCAUCGGAAACCGUCUCCAAGACUGGGACGCAACAUGGAAACGGGUAAGGGGUCCAAUUGGCUUCUCCCAAUUAGCUUCUCCCACAACUAUCUCCUUUCUCUUCUUUCUCUGCUUUCUGAUUGGUUCACUUUCUCCUCUCCUCCUUCCUGAUUCAACAACACCCCCCCUCCUUUCUCUUUUUUUGCUUCUCUCUCAUCCGCCCAUCUCUCUCUUUUCUCUUCUUUCCUUUCCAUCAUAGCCACACACGUGGCACCAAAUUGAUGCUCCAACAAAAUAUGGAGCCUUCCAAAUUUAUGGUCAAAUGACCAUUUUGCCCUCGAUUUCAUUCGUUAAUAACUUCUUCGUUAUAACUCCAAAUUACAUUCUGUUUGCUCCCACGUGUUCAUAGCGAUGAGUAAUACGAGGAUACGCCAAGAAAACGGAUUUUAUGUGACACAACAAGGUAUCAACGUUUUUGCCUCAAAAGGCAUUUUCGUAAAUUCACGCUUUAAAUUUAUAAAAUUGUAAAAUUUGGGGAUUGGUCAUUACACAGCAACGCACCUACAUGCAGACACUGGAAUAGUGUUAAAGACAUUUUCCACUACCUUAAGGGUACGACGGAUUUGGGCUUGUUCUAUACCCACGAAUUCUCGAGAUGAGCCGCCACCCCUCUCGAUCCUUAGGUUGAUUCAUGCCUUGUUGGUUACGCAUAUGCUUGUUAUCUAUCUAACCCACAUAGGGCACGUUCUCAAACGGGUUAUGUCUUUACCGUUUGAAACACUGUUAUAUCUUGGAGGUCUACCAAGUAAACGCUAGUUACGACUUCUUCGAACCAUGCUGAGAUUCUCGCCCUGCAUGAAGCGUCGCGAUAGUGCUUUUGGAUGAGAGCAGUUAUGAACAUAUUCGAAGCACUAGUGGUCUUACUUCCAUUGUUGACCUUCCUACAACGAUCUUUGAAGACAAUGCGGCAUGUAUCGGGCAGUUAAAGAAGGGAUACAUCUAGUUAUCCAAAAAAAAAAAAAGGGAUACAUCAAGGGAGACAACACCAAGGGAGACAACACCAAGCACAUAGCGUCGAAGUUAUUUUACUCUCACCAGCAACAAUAGCAUUAGAACAUUGAAAUCAAGAAAAUCUGCUCCCAGGACAACUUGGCCGACUUCUUCACGAAGUCACUGCCCAAGUCUACUUUUCAGAAGCUCGUCCAAGGAAUCGGUAUGCGUAAAUUAUCUUAAUUGAAUCGCUUGUAGUCUUAUUUGUAUCCUGAAUCAAGGGGAGUAUCCUGAAGCAUACUCACUUGAUCUUAAUGUACUCUUUUUCCUAUGAUUAUGAGCAUUUUUCCCAACUGGGUUUUUGCUACCUAACGAGGUUUUAACGAGGCACCCAUCCUGGGAUGAUCAUACUCUGUUGAGUUCACUACUUUCGUCUUAUUUGAUGUUUGUUUUAGACAUUAUGCAUACUUCUCACUUUUCUCCUUAGUCUUUGGGUUUUACCAUAGCAAGGUUUUGUGAGUUUUACUACCAAUGCAUACUUACUUACUUGUGUUUAAGACUCGCGUUCACCCUUUAUGCCGACGACUUCAUCAACUGUUCUACCUCAUCUUCUGAAGAUCUGAUGCGACGUUUUGUUUAAGUAUUUAGACACUCAAGGGGGAGUGUUGUAGUCCUAUCGGAUUAGGAAUGUGAUUGUGUAAAUCCUAGUAUAUCUAGUAGUAUCUUGUAGUUACCUAUUAGGAGUUGAUUACCUUUUAAGAGAUGUAACCUUAUAAGGGUAAGGAUUCUACCCUUUAUACUACUAUAAAUAAAGGUAUAAGGGAGUGAUACAAGACAUUCUUGAUAAUUAAAUCUCUCUCUUUCUCUCUUGUUGCCGCUGGCCCCCCUCUCUCUCUAUUCCUUAGAUUGCUCAGUUAAUUAGGCCUACAUCAAAACAUUUAUUUUAAGAUAUUCUUGCAAAAUAUUCGUCAAAUUAAAAAUAUUUGAGAUAUCUAAUUAAGUUCAAAAUAAAUGCUUCAACGAUUCAGAUUAAAUUAAUUUUUUAUUAGAAAAUCUAUGAAUGCAAACUUAAAAUAAACAAUUCAAAUCGUUUAAAAUUCAAUAUAAAAUAAGACCCACAAUCAGUCUUUUUAUUUACAUGAAAAUGAGGACCCCUUUAAAAAUUGAUUCUGCUACUAAAAAUUCUAAAAUUUAGUUUACAAAAUGCUAUAUAUAUAUAUAUAUAUUUGUAGGGUUAAUUACAAAAAACUAGCUCAACUAUUGGCCAUUAACAGUUUCAUACCUCGUCUUUAAAAAGUUUCAAUGUCAUACCUUAUCUUCGAAUUUGUCGCAAUAUCAUACCUUCCGUCAAUUGUCUGUCAAUUCCUCUGUUAAAUGCUGAUGUGGCUUGAGGCACUUUCUUUUAAAAUAUUAUUAAAAUUAUAAUUUACCAUUAAAAAAAAAACCCAGAUCCCAUCUUUCCCGACCCCCUUUCCUUGCAUCCAUUCUCCCGUCUUCCCCAAACUCACCACGCACCCAUCCUCCACCUCCUCCUCCGCACCCACCCUCGCACCCAUCCUCCACAUCCUCCACCUCCUCCUCCGACUACCCCCUUCCCUCCGUCGAUCUGCACCCGGACGCAUCGCACCCCAGCUGCAUCAACAGCACCGCGCGCACCUAUCCUUCCCUGUACCCAUCCUCCCAUCUUCCCCAAACCCACCACACACCCAUCCUCCACCUCCUCCUCAGCACCCACCCUCGCACCCAUGUAAAAUUACUGAACGCUAAGUUAGAUUUGUAAAUAAAGAAGCAAAUAUAACAAAACUAGGAUCAGAAAUGGAGGGACAAGAAGAACUGCACAAAGAUCCUUGGUUGUAGAUGUCGAUGGAGAUAAAAACACGCUCGGCGCUGGACUUGAGCUAGUUGAGGGAGACCUUGUGCGCGCGGUGCUGCUGAUGCAGCUAGGGUGCAACGCAUCCGGGUGCAAAUCGACGGAGGGAAGGGGGUAGUUGAAGGAGGAGGUGAAGGAUGUGGAGGAUGGGUGCAAGUGUGGGUGUGGAGGAGGAGGUGGAGGAUGAGUGCGCAGUGGGUUUGGGGAAGACGGAAAGAUGGGUACAGGGAAGGGGGGGUCAGGGAAGACAGGAUCUAGUACUUUUUUUUUUAAUGGUAUAUUAUAAUUUUAAUAAUAUUUCAUUAAUUUUUAAUAGAAAGUGGGCCCCGCCUCAAGCCACGUCAGCAUUUAACAGAAGAAUUGAUAGACAACUGAUAGAAGGUAUAACAUUGCAACAAAUUUGAAGAUAAAGUAUAACAUUGAAAUUUUUUAAAGAAGAGGUAUGAAACUAUUAAUGACCUAAUAGUUGAAGUAAUUUUAUGUAAUUUACCCAUAUAUAUAUAUAUGAGUGAACUCGUAAGGCGUGACAUCUUUUCAUCAAAAGAUAAUUUUAUCAUGGUGUACAUCAAAUGAACAGCUAUUACUAAAACGCUUCCAAAUUAAAAAAAAAAAAAAAAAAAAGUAACGGGUGUUUUCCUUGCAAAGGAAGCUAGCGGGGAAAAAGGAAUUCGAACUGCAAGCUCGAGUGUAAGAGGAAAUGUUCGCAACUACUUGAACAUCAAGCUUCACGUCAAAUCAUUAUUUUUAACCAAGCAUGAAUCAAACAUCAAAAUUAACGAUUAUUAGCAUUCCAAAAAUCACACCCCAUGCAGUCUUUCGUAACAACAAAAUAUAGAAAUCGCAUUUCAGAGAAUAAAUGACGAUUUCUUCAGAGUGAUAAUAACAAUUCUCGAAACAUAACGUGCUUAAAGAUCACAAUGGAUCAAGAAUAACCCAUCUCAAAGAACAACCUAGUAAAAUAUCGAUUCAAUUUAUCAAAUAAUUGGUUAAUCUGCAAUUUACGUCUUCCACAAUUUUCUUUCAUCAUCCAUUCAAAAGAUAAAGCUCUUUAGAUAGCAACACAAAGCAUCACUACAAAUCUUUAAUUUCUUUAUCAACAGUGACUCACCUGAAGAACAUAUAAAUAUAAUUCCAAAGCAUAUUCUCCGCAAAGACGUAUAGAUGCUCUCAAAUGCGGUCAUUUUCGGUAGGUCGUAUGAUGAUUAAGAGCUUAUUAAGCUUUGGAUUAAAAUCAUAAAAAUAAAUAAAUACAUUAUUAAACGGGUGAUCACUAUUGCAGUUGAAACUUGUCAAUCUUUGAAUUCCCAUACAAUGGCACUUACCAGUAGUCAGAAGCAGUAGCUUGAUCAGCGCAAAGCUUUGAAGCAAAGUACUGACAGAAAAAUUAAAUGACAUGGGCUUCAUUCUUAAGCUUGUCAAUCAGCUCGUCCACAGAAGAAACGAGGACCCCUGCUUUUCUCGUGGGAGGUUCAGCGACUUGAACCUGUUCUAAAUCGGAUUUGAUUUCCACAUUCAGAUCCUGUGGAGUGUACUUCGUUAUGACCUUCGAUUUCUCUUUCAUUAUGCUUGGGAGUGUUGCAUACCUCAGGUCGUUUAGCCUCAAAUCAGUGCUGCAAGACGGUAACAGAAAUAAGUGUUAGUCUACAUCUUCCACCAGAAAAUCAGGUUUAGACAAGCAUCUAUCGUGAUGUAUGUGCUGAUGUUUUCGCUGGAUUUCAGUCCAUUACUCUAAUUGAUAUCUCAAAUAUUCUAAUAUGAAAUAAUAAAGUUGAAACCUUCAAAAUAUAUUUCCAUCAAAAAGUCACAAGUGUACUUAAAAUAUCAUCAAAAUUUUGUCAUUUUGACACUCAUUCAUAUCUCUCAAGACGCAAUAUGAUCCACCACUACUAAAUUUAUAUGAUCCAUGUCAUUUAAUUAUCGAAUUCCCAAAGAACAGGCAACUGUACCCUUGGACUGGUUCAAAGUUAACUAGGUCCUUAUUUGCAGACCUUUACGUGCCCAAGCUUUAUUGGCUUGGGAAGCCGCUUCCCUUAGGGUUACUUGAAGCUGAAUGUGUACUGUCCUAGGCUAGGUAAGGGCCCGAUGGUUCUAAGUGCUGAGGGACAAAUCCAGGAUUACAAUGGUGGUUGGCUGGUGGGUUUUAAGGCUAACAUUAGAUCAAACUGUUCCAGUGAGAUAUUUCAAGCUGUUGAUUGAGUUGAUUCAGCUAUUAUCCUUUGAUUGGUAUCAUCACUGAGUUCAAUUAUUUGUCCAUAGGCGGAUGUUCGUUGAAAAGAAAUUUUCGCCGCAGAUUUAUUAGUUAAGUUGGGUUAUACCAGUAGCGUGGGUAAUCUUCAUGAUGAUUGGAUUGGCAUUACCAGACCCAAGUUAAUUUGUGUCUAGUACUUUGCGUUUAGGCCAACGACGUAACCAGAACAAAUAAAUAAGUAAAUAAACUGCAUUCUGGUAUCUACACGAGUGGAAAUGUCAUGACUAAACAAAGUUAUGGGGAAAACUAAUCUAUGUCUGAACCGUUCAUCUCUAUCAAUUUGAUCAUAUUUCUCCCUCCAAAUAAUCCACUGUGUGAACACGGUGCAGCUGUGACGCCCCUAGCUAAAUGGUUUGAGAAUGGCACAAGGGUGGUUCAACUACUCUGGCAUAUGGGCGAGGAUAGAGAACUCUCCCACCAGCAGCUAUCAAUGCUUAUGUAGAGUUCCCAGCUCCUUGAAAAAUUACUCCACAACAAAGGGGACGUAGAAUUGAAUUUAUGUAGAAUUGAAUUUAUGAAGGCCCUAAAGGGGCAGACUAAGGAAAGUUUGAGGUGAAAAGGAGACAUUGCACAGUUCAACAAAAGGACCUUUCAUCUUUUUAGUUUCUUUCCGGUUUUCGAUAAUCAGGGAUACUGACAGCUCUAAAACCUGUCUUUCAUAUCUUCCCAAUAAACUUUAUUGCGAAAAUUUGAAUGAAACAGAAUUGCACAUAUAAAAUAUAAAAUAUAUAAUCUUACCCAUUGAAGCUGUUUGAUCUAACUAGUGUAAAGAUUAUAUUAUUUUGAAAAGCUAACUGGUCUAAAUAGUUUUCAAUUUGUGUAAAGAGUUUUUUUUUUUUUUUUUGGGGGGGGGGGGGGCCCGGAAGAACAGAGACUGGAGAGAUGAAGCAUGACUAUCUCUUCAUACUUAGGCAUUAUUCCAAUUCCAAUUUCAAUUUCAGCAUAGAACAACCACACACAGAAAAGUGGAUGCUUGUUAGCUGUUAACUUCUAAAGGAUAAAAGGUCGUACCCAGUGCACAAGGCUCCCGCUUUACGCAGGGUCUGGGAGAGGUGAAUGUCGGCUAGCCUUACCUCCAUUUAUGGAGAGGCUGCUCCCAAGUCUCGAACCCGAGACCUACCGCUCAUGGGCUACUUAGAUAUGACUACUUAGAUAUGGAAAAUAGGACUACUUAGAUAUGGAAAGACAUGAUUGCUGAAAUUUAUAACGCUGUGGAAGUGGCAACUGUUUCUCCGGUUAAAUACAAAGAAAAAAAACGAUAUGGUCAUUUAUUUAUGAUAGAAAUCACGAACGCUAACUUCAAAUUGAACUACUCCUCAAUUCAGAAAAUAAUUUAGAAGUUUUUUUAAUCAAGUAAAUAAGUUGGGUUAAUGAAGUUUGAAAGCUGUUUCAAUUACUUAAUUGGUCCUAUCAAAGUAAAUAAAUUUAUGUUCCCAUUCCCUAAACAUAUAGCAAAAUUCAAGUGAAGGCAAAAAGAGAUGCAUCUAAAAGUCCUAGGUGUCCACACAGGAAUAUGCAAGAAGAUCUUAAACUUACGUGAUCACUGCUGGAAAAUCUAGACAUAAGAGUCUCGAGACCACCAUCCACCUCUCGGUCCACUGUCACUACCUGCUUCUCCUUAUCCAGCAAAACCUACAGGAAACAUUUAGUCAACAACAACAACAACAACAAAGCCUUUUCCCACUAAGUGGGGUCGGCUAAUGAAUCCUAGAACGCCAUUGCGCUCGGUUUUGUGUCAUGUCCUCCGUUAGAUCCAAGUACUCUAAGUCUUUUCUUAGAGUCUCUUCCAAAGUUGUCCUAGGUCUUCCUCUACCCCUUCGGCCCUGAACCUCUGUCCCGUAGUCACAUCUUCGAACCGGAGCGUCAGUCGGCCUUCUUUGCACAUGUUCAAAAUCACCGGAGCCGAUUUUCUCUCAUAUUUCCUACAAUUUCGGCUACUCCUACUUUACCUCGGAUAUCCUCAUUCCCAAUCUUAUCCUUUCUCGUGUGCCCACACAUCCCACGAAGCAUCAUCAUCUCCGCUACACCCAUUUUGUGUACGUGUUGAUGCUUCACCACCCAAGAUUCUGUGCCAUACAACAUCGCUAGCCUUAUUGCCGUCCUAUAAAAUUUUCCCUUGAGCUUCAGUGGCCUACGACGGUCACACAACACGCCGGAUGCACUCUUUCCAUCCAGCUCGUAUUCUAUGGUUGAGAUCUCCAUCUAAUUCUCCGUUCUCUUGCAAGAUAGAUCCUAGGUAGCGAAAACGAUCGCUUUUUGUGAUCUUCGCUAGAUUGCUCCGGUCAUUAGUGUGGAUAAGUAUAUAAAUGGAUAGAGAUAGGAAAGCAAACACAAGAUGUACGUGGUUCACCCAGAUUGGCUACGUCCACGGAAUAGAAGAGUUCUCAUUAAUUGUGAAGGGUUUACACAAGUACAUAGGUUCAAGCUCUCAUUUAGUGAGUACAAGUGAAUGAUUUAGUACAAAUGACAUUAGGAAAUAUUGUGGGAGAAUGAUCUCGUAAUCACGAAACUUCUAAGUAUCAGAGUGUGGUGUCGUCUUGACUUGCCUUAUCUGUCUCAUAGGUAGAUGUGGCAUCUUCUCUGGAAGUACUCUUCCUCCAUCCAGGGGUGGUAUCUUUAACUGGUGGAGAUGCACAAGGUAAUGUACCAAUUUCACUUGAAGCUUACUUGUAGUUUCAGGCUUGGUCAAGCGCGAUACAAACCAUGUAGUAGGAGUCCCCCAAGUCGCCGAGCUAGGGGGUCUGCUAAAAGAGGUGACAGACAAGGUAAGCAAUCAGAGCUCCGACUGAUUGUUCACCUUCUCCCCAUCUUGCAGCAGCAUGAAGGAUAAAGAGAAGAAAAAUGAGAAGAGAUGAUAUGAGAUACUUUUGCUUUUGAAGAAGUAACUUUCCACAGGCUUAUUCUUGAACUGAGCUGGAGGGUUUUCUGGUUUCCUCCAGAGUAUAAGGGCCGACUGAAGAAUUUGAGGGUCAAAACAAGUCCAUCAAAUCUAGAGUACGUUCCACCCUGCUGAUAUGGGAUACUUUUGCUUUUGACAGAGUAAUCGGCACGUGUGCUGUUACGCUUGUCUCCACAUGCUUCCUUGUAUCCUUCGCACUUGCCCUAUCUGUUCCUCAAGCAGAUGCGGAAUCUUCCCUGGAAACAUAAGAUGUUGAAGAUGAGUACUCGAGAGCAAUGCCAGGUAAGUAAUCAGGUAAGGGGUUCCAGGCAGUCAGUUCCUGGCUAGAAGCUUGAUUCCAAGUGCUGACUGAUUGCUCUCUUUCUCCUUGUCUUGCAGGUAAAAACAAGGCCAAAAGAAAAGACAGGGAAAAAGCAUGAUAUGGGAUACUCUUGCUUUUAACCCUGAUGAUAUGAGAUAUUCUUGCUCUAGUAUAGCUUGUUUGCAGAGGUAUUAUCGAGGGGAAAGAAAGCUGAAUAUUUCGAAAGGCUUCGUUGGGAGUGCCCUCUCAGAUAUGAUGAAGGGUUGAGCAUUUUUGCAGGUCUGCCUGUCCGUUGGGGAUGGAGGUCGACAUAUAUAGGAGUCUCCCUAACAACAAGUAGUAAUGCUAUUCCUUUACCCUGCUUGGUCAUAGCACGGUAGUGGGAGCUGCCAGUUUCACAUGUUUUAACUCUGUCAGAGCACUUUGAAAAAAGUGGUCUGUGGUAUCUGGCUCUCGAGAUUCGGAGAACGAUGCCUCUUCGAUUUUUGAGAAAGCAAUCAUGCUGGGGGUAUGACUCUCGAGAUUCGGAGAGCAGUGUCUCUUCGAUUUUUGAGGAAGUAAUCAUGUUGGGAGUCUGGCUCUCGAGAUUCGGAGGGCGGUGCCUCUUCGAUUUUGGAGCAAGCAAUCUUGUUGGGAGUGUUGUCUCGAAUGUGAGUAAAGGUUGGGCAUGUUUGCUAGUCUACCUUGCCACGAAGCACAAAGGUUGACACACAGGGACUUUCCAAUUAUCCAGCAAUGGUACUGUUCCUUUACCCUCUCUUCGUUUUUUGAGUAAGUAUUCAUGUUGGGAGUCUGGCUCUCGAGAUUCGGAGGACGGUGCCUCUUCGAUUUUGGAGCAAGCAAUCUUAUUGGGAGUGUUUUCUCGAAUGUGAGUAAAGGUUGGGCAUGUUUGCUAGUCUACCUUGCCACGAAGCACAGAGGUUGACACACAGGGACUUUCCAAUUAUCCAGCAGUGGUACUGUUCCUUUACAGUUGUGGGUAAUAAUAUGGUAGCUAGACCUUCAAAAUUUAUGUGUCUAAACUUUUGUUAGUGCUGUUUCUUUGCUAUUCUUUUACCUUUCUUGGUCAGAGCGAUGUAGUGGGAGCUGCAAGCUUCACGUGCUCAACUUUGGCAGAGAACUUUGGCAAAGUUAUUUGUGGUACCCAUGAGCUAUUGUUGCGUGUGGGAAGUGGGUGAUUGAACAGUAAGAUUCAUGUGCUUUCUACUUCACCAGAAGUCUUCGACAGAAUGCCCAUAAUUUCUGCAAAGCUGAGUGUGCGUGUGACAGGUGCUGACAAGGCUAGAAAAGUAGGUGCCUCUUCGAUUUCUGAGAUCGGCCCUCGUGGUCUCUGAGCAGCCCAGCUUUUGAGAAAGCGAGCGCCUCUUCGAUUGAUUCGGAGAACGCUACCUCAUCGAUUUUUGAGAAAGCAAUCAUGCUAGGGGUCUGGCUCUCGAGAUUCGGGGAGCAGUGUCUCUUCGAUUUUUGAGAAAGUAAUCAUGUUGGGAGUCUGGCUCUCGAGAUUCGGAGGGCAGUGCCUCUUCGAUUUUGGAGCAAGCAAUCUUGUUGGGAGUGUUUUCUCGAAUGUGAGUAAAGGUUGGGCAUGUUUGCUAGUCUACCUUGCCACGAAGCACAGAGGUUAACACACAGGGACUUUCCAAUUAUCCAGCAAUGGUACUGUUCCUUUACCCUCUCUUCGAUUUUUAAGAAAGUAGUCAUGUUGGGAGUCUGCCUCUCGAGAUUCGGAGGACGGUGCCUCUUCGAUUUUGGAGCAAGCAAUCUUAUUGGGAGUGUUUUCUCGAAUGUGAGUAAAGGUUGGGCAUGUUUGCUAGUCUACCUUGCCAUGAAGCACAGAGGUUGACACACAGGGACUUUCCAAUUAUCCAGCAGUGGUACUGUUCCUUUACCCUUGUGGGUAAUAAUAUGGUAGCUAGACCUUCAAAAUUUAUGGGUCUAAACUUUGUUAGUGCUGUUUCUUUGCUAUUCUUUUACCCUUCUUGGUCAGAGCGAUGUAGUGGGAGCUGCAAGCUUCACGUGCUCAACUUUGGCAGAGAACUUUGGCAAAGUUAUCUGUGGUACCCAUGAGCUAUUGUUGCGUGUGGGAAGUGGGUGAUUGAACAGUAAGAUUCAUGUGUUUUCUACUUCCCCAGAAGUCUUUGACAGAAUGCCCAUAAUUUCCGCAAAACUGAGUGUGCGUGUGACAGGUGCUGACAAGGCUGGAAAAGUAGGUGCCUCUUCGAUUUCUGAGAUCGGCCCUCGUGGUCUCUAGGGAGCCCAGCUUUUGAGAAAGCGAGCGCCUCUUCGAUUUUUGAGAUCGGCCUUCGUGGUCUUUGAGCAGCCCAACUUUUGAGAAAGCAAACGCCUCUUCGAUUUCUGAGAUCAACCCUCGUGAUCUCUAAGCAGCCCAGCUUUUGAGAAAGCAAACGCCUCUUCGAUUUCUGAGCAGGCGCCUCUUCGAUUUCUGAAGCUUCGUCGAGUGCAGAUUUUUAUAGGGGCUGGCAUUAAGUUCCAAAGCACACUUGAAUCUCCACCAGUAGAAGCUUCAUUCUUGCACUUCUAAGAUCUUGAUUUGUCCGACCUCUUCUCUCUUCAACACCUUUGAAAAUGUCUGGCCCCUCCGACCGUCGUUUUGACUUGAACCUUGUUGAAGAGGCAGCCCCGCCUUCUCCAGACAACAUAUGGCGCCCAUCCUUCGUCUCCCCUACUGGUCCUCUUACCGUUGGGGAUUCCGUGAUGAAGAAUGAUAUGACCGCUGCGGUGGUGGCCAGGAACCUUCUCACUCCCAAAGAUAACAGACUACUUUCCAAACGGUCUGAUGAGUUAGCUGUUAAGGAUUCGCUGGCUCUCAGUGUUCAGUGUGCAGGUUCUGUGUCUAAUAUGGCCCAACGCCUAUUUGCUCGAACCCGCCAAGUUGAAUCAUUGGCGGCUGAAGUGAUGAGUCUCAAACAGGAGAUUAGAGGGCUCAAGCAUGAGAAUAAACAGUUGCACCGGACUCGCACAUGACUAUGCUACAAACAUGAAGAGGAAGCUUGACCAGAUGAAGGAAACUGAUGGUCAGGUUUUACUUGAUCAUCAGAGAUUUGUGGGUUUGUUCCAAAGGCAUUUAUUGCCUUCGUCUUCUGGGGCUGUACCGUGUAAUGAAGCUCCAAAUGAUCAACCUCUGAUGCCUCCUCCUUCUAGGGUUCUGUCCAGUACUGAGGCUCCAAAUGAUCCCCCUCCGGUGCCUUCUCUUUCUGGGGCUCUACCGACUGCUGAGACUUCUCCUAAGCAACCUUUGUGAAGGCUCCCUCUUGUGUGUUUAUUUUGACUCAUGUAUAUGUACAUAUUUGUAGCUUAUCGGGGAUAUCAAUAAAUAAGCUUUCCUUCAUUUCAACGUAUUGUGUUAAAUACACCAAAGCCUUCUUCGCUAAGUUCUUUGAAUUUUCUUUUGUUAAAGCUUGUAUGUUGAAGCUUUCUGAGUGGAGCAUGUAGGUUGGGGUAGUGUUCCCUUAAUUUCCCGAGUGAGGAAAACUUCUCGGUUGGAGACUUGGAAAAUCCAAGUCACUGAGUGGGAUCGGCUAUAUGAAUCUUAGAACGCCAUUGUGCUCGAUCCUGUGUCAUGUCCUUCGUUAGAUCUAAGUACUCUAAGUCUUUUCUUAGAGUCUCUUCCAAAGUUUUCCUAGGUCUUCCUCUACCCCUUCGGCCCUGAACCUCUGUCCCAUAGUCGCAUCUUCUAAUCGGAACGUCAGUAGGCCUUCUUUGCACAUGUCCAAACCACCGUAACCGAUUUUCUCUCAUCUUUCCUUCAAUUUCGGCUACUCCUACUUUACCCCGGAUAUCCUCAUUCCUAAUCUUAUCCUUUCUCGUGUGCCCACACAUCCAACGAAGCAUCCUCAUCUCCGCUACACCCAUUUUGUGUACGUGUUGAUGUUUCACCGCCCAACAUUCUGUGCCAUACAGCAUCGCCGGCCUUAUUGCCGUCCUAUAAAAUUUUCCCUUGAGCUUCAAUGGCAUACGGCGGUCACACAACAUGCCGGAUGCACUCUUCCACUUCAUCCAUCCAGCUUGUAUUCUAUGGUUGAGAUCUCCAUCUAAUUCUCCGUUCUUUUGCAAGAUAGAUCCUAGGUAACGAAAACGGUCGCUCUUUGGUAUUUCUUGAUCUCCGAUCCUCACCCCUAACUCGUUUUGGCCUCCAUUUGCACUGAACUUGCACUCCAUAUAUUCUGUCUUUGAUCGGCUUAGGCGAAGACCUUUAGAUUCCAACACUUCUCUCCAAAGGUUAAGCUUUGCAUUUACCCCUUCCUGAGUUUCAUCUAUCAACACUAUAUCGUCUGCGAAAAGCAUACACCAAGGAAUAUCAUCUUGAAUAUGUCGUGUUAACUCAUCCAUUACCAACGCAAAAAGGUAAGGACUUAAGGAUGAGCCUUGAUGUAAUCCUACAGUUAUGGGAAAGCUUUCGGUUUGUCCUUCAUGAGUUCUUACGGCAGUCUUUGCUCCUUCAUACAUAUCCUUUAUAGCUUGGAUAUAUGCUACUCGUACUCCUUUCUUCUCUAAAAUCCUCCAAAGAAUGUCUCUUGGAACCCUAUCAUACGCUUUUUGCAAAUCUAUAAAGACCAUGUGUAAAUCCUUUUUCCCAUCUCUAUAUCUUUCCAUCAAUCUUCGUAAGAGAUAGAUUGCCUCCAUGGUUGAGCGCCCUGGCAUGAACCCGAAUUGGUUGUCCGAAACCCGUGUCUCUUGCCUCAAUCUAUGCUCAAUGACUCUCUCCCAGAGCUUCAUUGUAUGACUCAUUAGCUUAAUACCCCUAUAGUUCAUGCAAUUUUGUACGUCGCCCUUAUUCUUGUAGAUAGGCACCAAAGUGCUCGUUCGCCACUCAUUUGGCAUCUUCUUCGUUUUCAAAAUCCUAUUGAAAAGGUCAGUGAGCCAUGUUAUACCUGUCUCUCCCAAAAGUUUCCACACUUCGAUUGGUAUAUCGUCUGGGCCUAUUGCUUUUUUAUGCUUCAUCUUCUUCAAAGCUACAACCACUUCUUCCUUCCGGAUUCGACGAUAAAAAGAGUAGUUUCUACACUCUUCUGAGUUACUCAACUCCCCUAAAGAAGCACUCCUUUCAUGUCCUUCAUUGAAAAGAUUAUGAAAAUAACCUCUCCAUCUGUCUUUAACCGCGUUCUCUGUAGCAAGAACCUUUCCAUCCUCAUCCUUGAUGCACCUCACUUGGUUUAGGUCCCUUGUCUUCUUUUCCCUUACUCUAGAUAGUUUAUAGAUAUCCAACUCUCCUUCUUUGGUAUCUAGUCGUUUAUACAUAUCGUCGUAAGCCGCUAACUUAGCUUCUCUGACAGCUUUCUUCGCCUCUUGCUUCGCUUUUCUAUACCUUUCACCAUUUUCAUCAGUCCUCUCCUUGUAUAAGGCUUUACAACAUUCCUUCUUAGCCUUCACCUUUGUUUGUGCCUCCUCAUUCCACCACCAAGAUUCCUUUUGGUGUGGGGCAAAGCCCUUGGACUCUCCUAAUACCUCUUUUGCUACUUUUCGGAUACAACUAGCCAUGGAAUCCCACAUUUGGCUAGCUUCCCCCUCUCUAUCCCACACACAUUGGGUGAUUACCUUUCUCUUUGAAAAUGGCUUGUUUUUCUUCUUUUAGAUUCCACCAUCUAGUCCUUGGGCACUUCCAAGUCUUGUUCUUUUGUCUUACUCUUUUGAUAUGUACAUCCAUCACCAACAAGCGAUGUUGAUUAGCCACGCUCUCUCCUGGUAUAACCUUGCAAUCCUUACAAGUUAUACGAUCCCCUUUCCUCAUUAGAAGAAAAUCUAUUUGUGUUUUUGACGACCCACUCUUGUAGGUGAUCACAUGUUCUUCUCUCUUCUUAAAGAAGGUGUUGGCUAAGAAGAGAUCAUAUGCCAUUGCAAAAUCCAAGAUAGCUUCCCCAUCCUCGUUUCUCUCCCC
rnacentral:lncRNA from 1 species